AGUCCCUCUGUCCCUCUGUCUCUGCCAACCAGUUAACCUGCUGCUUCCUGGAGGAAGACAGUCCCUCUGUCCCUCUGUCUCUGCCAACCAGUUAACCUGCUGCUUCCUGGAGGAAGACAGUCACUCUGUCUCUGCCAACCCAGCUGACCGCAGACAUGCAGGUCUGCUCAGGAAAAGCUUUGGAUCACAAUUCCCAGUGCUGAAGAAAAGGCCAAACUCUG
rnacentral:lncRNA from 10 species